GAGUGAUGAAGGUUUUCGGAUCGUAAAGCUCUGUUGUUAGGGAAGAACAAGUACCGUUCGAAUAGGGCGGUACCUUGACGGUACCUAACCAGAAAGCCACGGCUAACUACGUGCCAGCAGCCGCGGUAAUACGUAGGUGGCAAGCGUUGUCCGGAAUUAUUGGGCGUAAAGGGCUCGCAGGCGGUUUCUUAAGUCUGAUGUGAAAGCCCCCGGCUCAACCGGGGAGGGUCAUUGGAAACUGGGGAACUUGAGUGCAGAAGAGGAGAGUGGAAUUCCACGUGUAGCGGUGAAAUGCGUAGAGAUGUGGAGGAACACCAGUGGCGAAGGCGACUCUCUGGUCUGUAACUGACGCUGAGGAGCGAAAGCGUGGGGAGCGAACAGGAUUAGAUACCCUGGUAGUCCACGCCGUAAACGAUGAGUGCUAAGUGUUAGGGGGUUUCCGCCCCUUAGUGCUGCAGCUAACGCAUUAAGCACUCCGCCUGGGGAGUACGGUCGCAAGACUGAAACUCAAAGGAAUUGACGGGGGCCCGCACAAGCGGUGGAGCAUGUGGUUUAAUUCGAAGCAACGCGAAGAACCUUACCAGGUCUUGACAUCCUCUGACAAUCCUAGAGAUAGGACGUCCCCUUCGGGGGCAGAGUGACAGGUGGUGCAUGGUUGUCGUCAGCUCGUGUCGUGAGAUGUUGGGUUAAGUCCCGCAACGAGCGCAACCCUU
rnacentral:rRNA from 1 species